CAAAAAAAAGCAAAAAAAAGCAAAAAAAAGCAAAAAAAAUCAAAAAAAGGCAAAAAAAAGCAAAAAAAAGCAAAAAAAAGCAAAAAAAAGCAAAAAAAUGAAAAAAAUGAACAAAAUGAGCAAAAUGAACAAAAUGAACAAAGUGAACAAUAUGGAUGAGGAUAAAAUCCAAUAUAACAGAACUUGCGACUUUCCUAUAAACGAUAAAAGAGAGAUGAAUGAUAAUAACAGUAGUGGUAGUGAUAGUGAUAAUGGUAGUGGUAAUGGUAGCAGUGUCGAUAAUGAAGAAAAAGGUAUGAGUAGCAACGAAGAUAUUGAAACGAACUCUUAUCUGAAUUUAACAAGUGCUAAGAUAAAAAAGAGUGCGGAUAAAAGUUACGUUUUAAAUAGUAAGGAUAGUAAUAAAAAAAAUGGUAAUAAUAAAGAUAAUGACAGUAGCAAUGGUGAUAGUGAUGAAGAUGACGUGAGCUUAGAUAACAUUAAUGAUAGUUUAUUAGAAUCCAUAGAUUUAAGUGUAGUUGAUUCUAAGUUUGAUGCAAAGGAUGAUUAUUUAUGUGACAAUUUUCCAAAAAAUAACGUUUCGAAUUUUAGUAAUUUCAGUAAUUAUAGUAAUUUAUCGAAAGAAAAUAUAAGUAGCAAUUAUUUAAACAAAUUUUUAAAUAAAAAUGGUAUAAAUUUUAUGAAUAAAAACAAGGACAUCAACCUAACUGAUAUAAACAACAAUAACAAUUUGGCUAAUUCUGUUACUAAUAUGAACUUAAAAAAAAAUUUUUAUAACAACAAAAAGGAAGUGGAAAGAGAUUUAUUUUUAGAACAAGUAAAAAUGCUAAACACGAAUGAAGAUAACAAUAACAGUAGUAGUAUGAAUAAUUCCAAAAAAAAUGUUUAUACAACAGAUACAAUUAGCUGUAGCAAUAUUAAUAAUAACAACAUUAUAAAUGAUAUUUAUGAGAAGCAUAUGAUAGAAACUGAUUUAAGUGAUUCAACUGAUUUUGAAAACAUGGUAAGUGACUUAAGAAUAACUUUUAUAAACUGGCUUAAAAAAACACAAAUGAAUUUUAUACGUGAAAAGGAUAAAAUAUUUAAAGAUAAAAAAGAGUUAGAACUGGAACGAAUACGAUUAUAUAAUGAAAUUGAAAAUAAAAAAAUAAUGGAAGAACAAAAAAUAAAAGAAGAAAGAAAAAAAUUAGAUAUGGAUAUAUCUAACGGGUAUAAACAAAUAAAAAAAGAAAAAGAAGAACAUAGAAAAAGGUUUGAUGAAGAAAGGUUAAGAUUCUUACAAGAAAUAGAUAAACUAAAAUUAGUCU
rnacentral:lncRNA from 1 species